rnacentral:rRNA from 1 species
GAUGAACGCUCGCGGCAGGCCUAAUACAUGCAAGUCGGACGGGAUCCAUUGAUAGCUUGCUAUCAAUGGUGAGAGUGGCGCACGGGUGCGUAACGCGUGAGCAACCUGCCUCCAUCAGGGGGAUAGCCUCUCGAAAGAGAGAUUAACACCGCAUAAUAUCAACAGUUCGCAUGUUCAGUUGAUUAAAUAUUUAUAGGAUGGAGAUGGGCUCGCGUGACAUUAGCUAGUUGGUAGGGUAACGGCUUACCAAGGCGACGAUGUCUAGGGGCUCUGAGAGGAGAAUCCCCCACACUGGUACUGAGACACGGACCAGACUCCUACGGGAGGCAGCAGUAAGGAAUAUUGGUCAAUGGGCGGAAGCCUGAACCAGCCAUGCCGCGUGCAGGAUGACUGCCCUAUGGGUUGUAAACUGCUUUUGUCCAGGAAUAAACCUAAAUACGAGUAUUUAGCUGAAUGUACUGGAAGAAUAAGGAUCGGCUAACUCCGUG